GGAGAACUGAAACAUCUAAGUACCCCGAGGAAAAGAAAUCAACCGAGAUUCCCUCAGUAGCGGCGAGCGAACGGGGAUUAGCCCUUAAGCAUCUUGGAAGUUAGUGGAACGGUCCUGGAAAGACCGGCGAUACAGGGUGAUAGCCCCGUACACGAAAACAACCUUGAUGUGAAAUCGAGUAGGGCGGGACACGUGACAUCCUGUCUGAAUAUGGGGGGACCAUCCUCCAAGGCUAAAUACUCCUG
rnacentral:rRNA from 1 species